rnacentral:rRNA from 1 species
UAGGGAAUCUUCGGCAAUGGGGGCAACCCUGACCGAGCAACGCCGCGUGAGUGAAGAAGGUUUUCGGAUCGUAAAGCUCUGUUGUAAGAGAAGAACGUGUGUGAGAGUGGAAAGUUCACACAGUGACGGUAACUUACCAGAAAGGGACGGCUAACUACGUGCCAGCAGCCGCGGUAAUACGUAGGUCCCGAGCGUUGUCCGGAUUUAUUGGGCGUAAAGCGAGCGCAGGCGGUUUAAUAAGUCUGAAGUUAAAGUCAGUGGCUUAACCAUUGUUCGCUUUGGAAACUGUUAAACUUGAGUGCAGAAGGGGAGAGUGGAAUUCCAUGUGUAGCGGUGAAAUGCGUAGAUAUAUGGAGGAACACCGGUGGCGAAAGCGGCUCUCUGGUCUGUAACUGACGCUGAGGCUCGAAAGCGUGGGGAGCAAACAGG